CAAACGGCCCUUUUCAGGCCCAACAAGAUAAUCACGAAAGAGUUAU
rfam:Culex pipiens quinquefasciatus supercont3.498 genomic scaffold, whole genome shotgun sequence.